rnacentral:rRNA from 1 species
UACGGGGGGGGCAAGCGUUGUUCGGAAUUACUGGGCGUGAAGGGUUCGUAGGUGGCUUGUUAAGUCAGACGUGAAAUCCCUCGGCUCAACCGGGGAACUGCGUCUGAUACUGGGUGGCUUGAAUCCGGGAGAGGGAUGCGGAAUUCCAGGUGUAGCGGUGAAAUGCGUAGAUAUCUGGAGGAACACCGGUGGCGAAGGCGGCAUCCUGGACCGGCAUUGACGCUGAGGCGCGAAAGCCAGGGGAGCAAACGGG